UAAGCGGAGGAAAAGAAACUAACAAGGAUUCCCCUAGUAACGGCGAGUGAAGCGGGAAGAGCUCAAAUUUGAAAUCUGGUAGCCUUCGGUUGCCCGAGUUGUAAUCUAGAGAAAUGUUUUCCGUGCCGGCCCAUGUACAAGUCCCUUGGAACAGGGCGUCAUAGAGGGUGAGAAUCCCGUCCUUGACAUGGACCCCCGGUGCUUUGUGAUACAUUUUCAACGAGUCGAGUUGUUUGGGAAUGCAGCUCAAAAUGGGUGGUGAAUUCCAUCUAAAGCUAAAUAUUGGCGAGAGACCGAUAGCGAACAAGUACCGUGAGGGAAAGAUGAAAAGCACUUUGGAAAGAGAGUUAAACAGUACGUGAAAUUGUUGAAAGGGAAACGAUUGAAGUCAGUCAUGCUCUUUGGUAUUUAUAUCAUUGAGUGGGGUCAACAUCAGUUUUGAUCGAUGGAUAAAGGCACUAGGAAUGUAGCACUCUCGGGUGAACUUAUAGCCUAGCGUCAUAUACAUUGAUUGGGACUGAGGAACGCAGCAUGCCUUUAUGGCCGGGAUUCGUCCACGUACAUGCUUAGGAUGUUGACAUAAUGGCUUUAAACGACCCGUCUUGAAACACG
rnacentral:rRNA from 1 species